CCAUCAACUGUUGCCCAUGGACAUCGUAUAUAAGAAAAGAGCAAUACUACUACAGCUAAUGUGCCAUUUUUAGAUGAGAUCUAUUGCCUCGAGGAUAUAAAUAUCCCAUCAUACCAUACCUCCAUAUAAAAGAACAAAACAAUGUACAUAAGGUCUGUAAGAUGUAAAACUCUAAACAUUGCUAAGAUUGACUAAGUGAGAAUUUACAAUACAAACAGAUAAUGUCAGCAGAAUAGUACAAGUAAACAUAACAUUUCAUACAACUACAAGUGCAUCGAGCUAUCACCUGAUAAUUGUGAUUCACUACUCUUUGCAUCUACUUCAAGUGUCUGAAGGAAGCUCUGGCAUCGAAUGGAGCAUCUUCUGCUAUGCAUAUGCAGAAGAAGGUACAUCAAAUUCCUGAAAAAAGAAAUAAGAAAAAGAACUGAGGGAACAUUUUAAGGGAAUGAUAGUUUGAGUAUUAUUUACUACAUCAUAGAGUUUGAUCAAAAGGGUUGUCGAAUUAUCUCAGAAAAGCAUGGAAACUACAAAAGGGAUUGCAACAAAACUGUAAUGUUAAAUACCAUGGCAAAUGCUAGAUUAAGGUGGCAAAUUAUAAAGGUCAACUAGAUUAGAUUAAUCAAAGAAUGCAUGUACGUAUCCAAAAUUCAGAUGAAAGGUCACCAGUGACCUAAAACAUUCUUUAAAAUAAAAGGUCACCUAAAACUAAAUGUAAGUGUAAAAAGCUUGAGGGUAAUUUGGAAUAUAAAAUUACAAGACGGAAAAAUGGGCUUGAUAUUGAUUAAAAUUAUGAGACCAGAGAUGUUACGUAGUAGCUAGGUGCAUGUGUAUUAAAUUUAAAUGAUAGACAUAAAAAUAAUGACCUAAGAUGAUAUGAGUGGACUACUUAACAAAUUGUAAAGAUAAUCAUGCAUAGAAAAAUAUAGAUAAUUUACCAAAAUGUAUAAUAAUUAUAAAUUAAGGGGCUCACACAAUAAAGAAAACAAGUAGCUGUGUUAUACGUUAAGGAUAUGUUUGUUAUUCCACCCGUAUAUACCCAGAUCACGUAACAUACAGUUUGAUUUUAGCUAUCAACAAAUUACUUCACAUUAUCCCGUGAAAUAUAAUGUUAGCCAUUAAUUAGUUAUAUAAGGAUAUCCUCAAUUACAAGUGUACUACUUAAAGGAAUAGCAAUGCGAAUGUGUGGGCUGCACAGCUAGAAAUUACGACAUUCAUAAGACAAAACAAGAGAUAUCUACACCAUCAUGGUGGUAUCAUAUUAUAAUGGUAUAGAUUAAGAGAAGAUAUAUAAAUUGCUUUAGAAGAAUUACCAUUCUCGUUUUUAUCUAGACAAGAACAAGAUGCGCUGCAUUUUGAUAACCAAAAUGGCAAUACCUACAACUGUACAUUAAAAAGACUCUGAUGUGCUUUAGAAAUGUUUCCUUGCUUGUAGAAGUCGUUCUAGGGACCAUGCAUGACGUAAAUUGCAAACCAUGCCAAGUAAAGGAGCUUGAGACGACCUAGCAGGAAAUACAAACCAAAAAAAUUUACCAAGGUCCAAACAAAAUAAUCAACAAAUACAUGAGCAUCUCUAAGUGACAAAGGCAAGGAGGGGAGUAAGAUGCCGACGGCUAGCGGGACUUUUAGAAAACUAUAAAAUAGAACCUGGUGAUCAUAGAAGGGCAACACAUAAUACAAGAUAGAAUAUGCUAUAUUUAGUAGGUGGAAGAAUAUCAUCUGAGACAGUGAAAAGAUGCAACUAAUAGUCUAAAGAUAAACAUAGAUGGAAGAAGAGAAACAAAUACACCAUAAAAUUUAUAUAUCUUUAAUUUGUUGUAAUGUUAGAUACUUACUAAAGGAUCCAUCGUGUUAGCUUUAUGGGCAUGAAUUACUAUAUUAAUUGGUAUUAGUUUGGUCAAGUUACACUAGAGUUUAAAAUUAUAUUGUCAUUUUAAAUAUAUUUCAUAAAAAAUGUGAAAGUAUAAUUGCUAUUAUCUGAGAAAUUUUAGAGCGAUGCUAUUGCGUAAUCUGCACAGGCUACCAUACUAGUUUUACUAAUAGAGUGGCCUUUGUACAUACGAUUGAACAUGAUACCUUCACAUUGCAAAGCUGCCCAGGUAAACACAAAACCACCAAAUGUUAAAUUCCUAACUUUGGUCGUUUAGCUGAGCAGUAGUUUAUCCAUCUAACAGAAGAAUCAGAUAUAUGAUCAUUAUCUUUACUUCUCUUUUGUUGUUUUAUUUUUUCUGACCAACAAAGAAAUGCUCACCUAAUUAUAAAAAAAACAGCACGAAACAACUCAAAAGCUCCAAAAGAAAUAGCAUUUAUCCGCCAGGUUGCCACCGUGCGUAAUCUGACAACACAUAUUCUUCAAACCAAAGAGACAACAGGUAAGCACAAUCUUCAGGGAGUACAACCAAUCCAGGAUGUUUCCCUGGACCACCUACCAGACAGAAUCACAAGAAGGGCAAGGCUGCAGCCCGCAGGCAUCCUCUCACACUUGGGUAAUUUUGUUGCAAAUGCGGCGCGACAAAAUAAAUUGCUAGAGGAAUCAUGUUCGACAUCCAUGGACUGCCAAGUUCGUCCUCGUGUCGCUUCUCCUACAAUCACCCACCCAAAAUUGUUCGUUCCCAAUUCCGCCCAGAAUGAAAACUGAAACGUGUCUACGUCAGGAGGGGGAACACGACGCUAGGGCAAAUCAUUAGCCCCAUUUCCACCGGAAAUGAAGUGAUGUGUGGGAUUGGUACGCACCGAGGGGGUGUCGUGGUGGAUGAGCGGCGGGUGGGCUAUGACGCGACGGGCUUGGAGUGGUGGAGGAAGGCCGCGGAGCAGAGCACGGUGGUGACGACGGCGAAGAGGCCGAGCGCCACCACCANNN
rnacentral:lncRNA from 1 species